rnacentral:sRNA from 1 species
ACUUUAAUGGCUGUCAGAUCAGGCAAGCAGCUACCAAGCCUCUGGAUCUCACUCGAGCAAGCAAAAUCAUGUUUGUUUUGCAAAUUGGGAGCACGUCGCAGACGGACAGCUGCAACAGUGACCUGAGUGGCCCCCACGCUGUGGACAAGGCGGUGCUGUUGCAGUACAGUGUCAACAACGGGAUCACCUGGCAUGUCAUCGCCCAGCACCAGCCAAAGGACUUCACACAAGCUCAGAGAGUGUCUUACAAUGUCCCCCUGGAGGCACGGAUGAAAGGAGUCUUACUGCGCUGGUGGCAACCACGCCACAAUGGAACAGGUCACGAUCAAUGGGCUUUGGACCAUGUGGAGGUCGUCCUUUCCUGUAGAACUGGAAUGCUUAUGUCUCGACGGGUUCGGACUGAUGGCUCCAAGUGGUUGGCAAGGAGAGGCGAAUCUUCUCGGUAGAUAGGUUCAAAUGUUCAUUCUGUUUACCAAAUCCAAAAUGAAAUCAGUCCCUUGGCUGAUUUCAAUCAUUUUACAAGCAAAUUUAAGUGAUUAAUUGGUAGGAAAACUACCAGAUUUGUUUUCGUUCAGUCAUAGCCAUGAGCUGAAUUUUUCAGUCUUGAGCUAGCCCUCGUCUUAGUUUUCACUGAGGCACCUGCUUGCAUGGCAUCCAUAUCAACCCCCAAAUCCAAGAGCAACCUGGU